CCCCGGCGCCACGAGUGGCAAUCUUAUAUUGGGCCUAAAGCAUUCGUAGCCGGUUUGGAAAAUCCUUUGUGAAAUUGUCGAACUCAAUACGACAGCGUGCAGGGGACACUUUCAGACUAGAGACUGGGAGGAGUUGGGGGUAUGCCUUGGGGAGCGGUUAAAUGCGAUAAUCCAAGGUAGACCACCUGUGGCGAAGGCGCCCAACUAGAACAGUUCUGACGGUGAGGGAUGAAAGCUAGGGGAGC
rnacentral:rRNA from 1 species